rnacentral:tRNA from 1 species
UUAAAAGCAGUUUUUGAAAAUGGUAACUUUGGAAGUUACUGAAUGGCAGAGAUUGCCACUUUUAAG